rnacentral:rRNA from 1 species
UACGGAGGGUGCGAGCGUUGUCCGGAAUCACUGGGCGUAAAGGGCGCGUAGGCGGCGCGGAUAGUCGGCGGUGAAAGCCCGGAGCUCAACUCCGGGUCGGCCGUCGAUACUUCCGGGCUUGAGCACUGUAGAGGCAGAUGGAAUUCCGGGUGUAGCGGUGGAAUGCGUAGAGAUCCGGAAGAACACCGGUGGCGAAGGCGGUCUGCUGGGCAGUUGCUGACGCUGGAUG